UAUUUUCCUAGCUACGCCACUGACUAUAUUGCACACCAAAUAGACUCUUCUGGUUCAUUUUAAGCAGGAUAGGAAUCAUGUCAAGUGGAAUGAAUGGAUACCAAUUAUUUUGUAAAGAAGAAGCUUCUAACGAUGACUCCUUAAAGUCUUUGUCAUUUCACGCUAGAAAUGUUGAAUUGGGACAACGAUGGCGCUGCGUGGAUAAAAGCCAACGAGAAGGCUAUAUAAAUAGGGCAAAGACAGAUUGCUCUGUUUUAGACCACGAAACGCGCAAGAAACGAGAGUUGAAAAAAUUUUGAAGAAGUUGGAUGCUUUGAAAGGAAUGAACAUUGAUUACUUUUUCGUGGCUGCCGUGGAAUCUGGUGUUGAAGUGCAUGGCUCAAAGUAUGAUAAAAUUCAUUUCCAGGGAGGGGGGUUAAAAUUCUUAUUUUUGUAAAAGUUCUUUUUGUU